UACGAAGGGGGCUAGCGUUGCUCGGAAUCACUGGGCGUAAAGGGUGCGUAGGCGGCUCUUUAAGUCAGGGGUGAAAUCCUGGAGCUCAACUCCGGAACUGCCUUUGAUACUGAGGAUCUUGAGGUCGGGAGAGGUGAGUGGAACUGCGAGUGUAGAGGUGAAAUUCGUAGAUAUUCGCAAGAACACCAGUGGCGAAGGCGGCUCACUGGCCCGAUACUGACGCUGAGGCACGAAAGCGUGGGGAGCAAACAGG
rnacentral:rRNA from 1 species